rnacentral:rRNA from 1 species
UGCAAGUCGAACGGCAGCACGGGUGCUUGCACCUGGUGGCGAGUGGCGAACGGGUGAGUAAUACAUCGGAACAUGUCCUGUAGUGGGGGAUAGCCCGGCGAAAGCCGGAUUAAUACCGCAUACGAUCUACGGAUGAAAGCGGGGGACCUUCGGGCCUCGCGCUAUAGGGUUGGCCGAUGGCUGAUUAGCUAGUUGGUGGGGUAAAGGCCUACCAAGGCGACGAUCAGUAGCUGGUCUGAGAGGACGACCAGCCACACUGGGACUGAGACACGGCCCAGACUCCUACGGGAGGCAGCAGUGGGGAAUUUUGGACAAUGGGCGAAAGCCUGAUCCAGCAAUGCCGCGUGUGUGAAGAAGGCCUUCGGGUUGUAAAGCACUUUUGUCCGGAAAGAAAUCCUUGGCUCUAAUACAGUCGGGGGAUGACGGUACCGGAAGAAUAAGCACCGGCUAACUACGUGCCAGCAGCCGCGGUAAUACGUAGGGUGCGAGCGUUAAUCGGAAUUACUGGGCGUAAAGCGUGCGCAGGCGGUUUGCUAAGACCGAUGUGAAAUCCCCGGGCUCAACCUGGGAACUGCAUUGGUGACUGGCAGGCUAGAGUAUGGCAGAGGGGGGUAGAAUUCCACGUGUAGCAGUGAAAUGCGUAGAGAUGUGGAGGAAUACCGAUGGCGAAGGCAGCCCCCUGGGCCAAUACUGACGCUCAUGCACGAAAGCGUGGGGAGCAAACAGGAUUAGAUACCCUGGUAGUCCACGCCCUAAACGAUGUCAACUAGUUGUUGGGGAUUCAUUUCCUUAGUAACGUAGCUAACGCGUGAAGUUGACCGCCUGGGGAGUACGGUCGCAAGAUUAAAACUCAAAGGAAUUGACGGGGACCCGCACAAGCGGUGGAUGAUGUGGAUUAAUUCGAUGCAACGCGAAAAACCUUACCUACCCUUGACAUGGUCGGAAUCCCGCUGAGAGGUGGGAGUGCUCGAAAGAGAACCGGCGCACAGGUGCUGCAUGGCUGUCGUCAGCUCGUGUCGUGAGAUGUUGGGUUAAGUCCCGCAACGAGCGCAACCCUUGUCCUUAGUUGCUACGCAAGAGCACUCUAAGGAGACUGCCGGUGACAAACCGGAGGAAGGUGGGGAUGACGUCAAGUCCUCAUGGCCCUUAUGGGUAGGGCUUCACACGUCAUACAAUGGUCGGAACAGAGGGUUGCCAACCCGCGAGGGGGAGCUAAUCCCAGAAAACCGAUCGUAGUCCGGAUUGCACUCUGCAACUCGAGUGCAUGAAGCUGGAAUCGCUAGUAAUCGCGGAUCAGCAU